rnacentral:rRNA from 1 species
AACGAACGCUGGCGGCGUGCCUAACACAUGCAAGUCGAACGAGAAAGGGGCUUCGGCUCCGAGUAAAGUGGCGCACGGGUGAGUAACACGUGGGUAAACUGCCUCUAAGAUUGGGAUAACUCGUCGAAAGAUGAGCUAAUACCGAAUAAGACCACAGUUCCCGCGGGAACAGGGGUCAAAGGUAGCCUCUGCUUGCAAGCUAUCACUUAGAGAUGGGCCUGCGCACCAUUAGCUAGUUGGUAGGGUAACGGCCUACCAAGGCAAAGAUGGUUAGCUGGUCUGAGAGGAUGAUCAGCCACACUGGAACUGAGACACGGUCCAGACUCCUACGGGAGGCAGCAGUGGGGAAUAUUGCGCAAUGGGCGAAAGCUUGACGCAGCAACGCCGCGUGAGUGAUGAAGGCCUUCGGGUCGUAAAGCUCUGUCGGGAGGAACGAAUGCUCCUGAGGUUAACAGCCUCGGGAGGUGACGGUACCUUCAAAGGAAGCACCGGCUAACUCUGUG